AGGCUGUCUCUUUUUAAAAUUGAUCAAAGGCUUUUUUUAGUUGACGGGCCAAUCAAAGGCUUUUUCAGUUGACUGGUCGAUCAAAGGCCAUCAUGUUUUAAAGCUAAUCAAAAGCUCCUUCUGUUGACUGAUCGAUCAAAGAUCGUCAUGUUUUAGAGCCGAUCAAAGACUCCUUCAAUUGACUGAUCGAUCAAAGGCCAUC
rnacentral:lncRNA from 1 species